rnacentral:rRNA from 1 species
GGAUGAACGCUGGCGGCGUGCCUAAUACAUGCAAGUCGAGCGAACGGACGAGAAGCUUGCUUUUCUGAUGUUAGCGGCGGACGGGUGAGUAACACGUGGAUAACCUACCUAUAAGACUGGGAUAACUUCGGGAAACCGGAGCUAAUACCGGAUAAUAUUUUGAACCGCAUGGUUCAAAAGUGAAAGACGGUCUUGCUGUCACUUAUAGAUGGAUCCGCGCUGCAUUAGCUAGUUGGUAAGGUAACGGCUUACCAAGGCAACGAUGCAUAGCCGACCUGAGAGGGUGAUCGGCCACACUGGAACUGAGACACGGUCCAGACCCCUACGGGAGGCAGCAGUAGGGAAUCUUCCGCAAUGGGCGAAAGCCUGACGGAGCAACGCCGCGUGAGUGAUGAAGGUCUUCGGAUCGUAAAACUCUGUUAUUAGGGAAGAACAUAUGUGUAAGUAACUGUGCACAUCUUGACGGUACCUAAUCAGAAAGCCACGGCUAACUACGUG